rnacentral:rRNA from 1 species
CCUACGGGUGGCAGCAGUGAGGAAUAUUGGUCAAUGGACGAAAGCCUGAACCAGCCAAGUAGCGUGAAGGAUGAAUGCCCUAUGGGUUGUAAACUUCUUUUAUAUGGGAAUAAAAUGUUCCACGUGUGGGAUUUUGUAUGUACCAUAUGAAUAAGGAUCGGCUAACUCCGUGCCAGCAGCCGCGGUAAUACCGAGGAUCCGAGCGUUAUCCGGAUUGAUUGGGUUUAAAGGGCGCGUAGGUGGGUUGUUAAGUCAGUUGUGAAAGUUUGCGGCUCAACCGGAAAAUUGCAUUGGAAACUGGCAGUCUUGAGUGCAGAAGAGGUGAGCGGAAUUCGUGGUGUAGCGGUGAAAUGCUUAGAUAUAAGGAAGAACUCCGGUUGCGAAGGCAGCUCACUGGACUGCAACUGACGCUGAGGCUCGAAAGUGUGGGUAGCAAACAGGAUUAGAUACCCUGGUAGUC